rnacentral:rRNA from 1 species
GAUGAACGCUGGCGGGGUGCCUAAUACAUGCAAGUCGAGCGAACGGACGAGAAGCUUGCUUCUCUGAUGUUAGCGGCGGACGGGUGAGUAACACGUGGAUAACCUACCUAUAAGACUGGGAUAACUUCGGGAAACCGGAGCUAAUACCGGAUAAUAUUUUGAACCGCAUGGUUCAAAAGUGAAAGACGGUCUUGCUGUCACUUAUAGAUGGAUCCGCGCUGCAUUAGCUAGUUGGUAAGGUAACGGCUUACCAAGGCAACGAUGCAUAGCCGACCUGAGAGGGUGAUCGGCCACACUGGAACUGAGACACGGUCCAGACUCCUACGGGAGGCAGCAGUAGGGAAUCUUCCGCAACGGGCGAAAGCCUGACGGAGCAACGCCGCGUGAGUGAUGAAGGUCUUCGGAUCGUAAAACUCUGUUAUUAGGGAAGAACAUAUGUGUAAGUAACUGUGCACAUCUUGACGGUACCUAAUCAGAAAGCCACGGCUAACUACGUG